rnacentral:rRNA from 1 species
GCGGGACACGUGGUAUCCUGUCUGAAUAUGGGGGGACCAUCCUCCAAGGCUAAAUACUCCUGACUGACCGAUAGUGAACCAGUACCGUGAGGGAAAGGCGAAAAGAACCCCGGCGAGGGGAGUGAAAAAGAACCUGAAACCGUGUACGUACAAGCAGUGGGAGCCUCUUAAUGGGGUGACUGCGUACCUUUUGUAUAAUGGGUCAGCGACUUAUAUUCUGUAGCAAGGUUAACCGAAUAGGGGAGCCGAAGGGAAACCGAGUCUUAACUGGGCGCUAAGUUGCAGGGUAUAGACCCGAAACCCGGUGAUCUAGCCAUGGGCAGGUUGAAGGUUGGGUAACACUAACUGGAGGACCGAACCGACUAAUGUUGAAAAAUUAGCGGAUGACUUGUGGCUGGGGGUGAAAGGCCAAUCAAACCGGGAGAUAGCUGGUUCUCCCCGAAAGCUAUUUAGGUAGCGCCUCGUGAAUUCAUCUCCGGGGGUAGAGCACUGUUUCGGCAAGGGGGUCAUCCCGACUUACCAACCCGAUGCAAACUGCGAAUACCGGAGAAUGUUAUCACGGGAGACACACGGCGGGUGCUAACGUCCGUCGUGAAGAGGGAAACAACCCAGACCGCCAGCUAAGGUCCCAAAGUCAUGGUUAAGUGGGAAACGAUGUGGGAAGGCCCAGACAGCCAGGAUGUUGGCUUAGAAGCAGCCAUCAUUUAAAGAAAGCGUAAUAGCUCACUGGUCGAGUCGGCCUGCGCGGAAGAUGUAACGGGGCUAAACCAUGCACCGAAGCUGCGGCAGCGACACUAUGUGUUGUUGGGUAGGGGAGCGUUCUGUAAGCCUGUGAAGGUGGCCUGUGAGGGUUGCUGGAGGUAUCAGAAGUGCGAAUGCUGACAUAAGUAACGAUAAAGCGGGUGAAAAGCCCGCUCGCCGGAAGACCAAGGGUUCCUGUCCAACGUUAAUCGGGGCAGGGUGAGUCGACCCCUAAGGCGAGGCCGAAAGGCGUAGUCGAUGGGAAACAGGUUAAUAUUCCUGUACUUGGUGUUACUGCGAAGGGGGGACGGAGAAGGCUAUGUUGGCCGGGCGACGGUUGUCCCGGUUUAAGCGUGUAGGCUGGUUUUCCAGGCAAAUCCGGAAAACCAAGGCUGAGGCGUGAUGACGAGGCACUACGGUGCUGAAGCGACAAAUGCCCUGCUUCCAGGAAAAGCCUCUAAGCAUCAGGUAACAUCAAAUCGUACCCCAAACCGACACAGGUGGUCAGGUAGAGAAUACCAAGGCGCUUGAGAGAACUCGGGUGAAGGAACUAGGCAAAAUGGUGCCGUAACUUCGGGAGAAGGCACGCUGAUAUGUAGGUGAAGCGACUUGCUCGUGGAGCUGAAAUCAGUCGAAGAUACCAGCUGGCUGCAACUGUUUAUUAAAAACACAGCACUGUGCAAACACGAAAGUGGACGUAUACGGUGUGACGCCUGCCCGGUGCCGGAAGGUUAAUUGAUGGGGUUAGCGGUAACGCGAAGCUCUUGAUCGAAGCCCCGGUAAACGGCGGCCGUAACUAUAACGGUCCUAAGGUAGCGAAAUUCCUUGUCGGGUAAGUUCCGACCUGCACGAAUGGCGUAAUGAUGGCCAGGCUGUCUCCACCCGAGACUCAGUGAAAUUGAACUCGCUGUGAAGAUGCAGUGUACCCGCGGCAAGACGGAAAGACCCCGUGAACCUUUACUAUAGCUUGACACUGAACAUUGAGCCUUGAUGUGUAGGAUAGGUGGGAGGCUUUGAAGUGUGGACGCCAGUCUGCAUGGAGCCGACCUUGAAAUACCACCCUUUAAUGUUUGAUGUUCUAACGUGGGCCCGUAAUCCGGGUUGCGGACAGUGUCUGGUGGGUAGUUUGACUGGGGCGGUCUCCUCCUAAAGAGUAACGGAGGAGCACGAAGGUUGGCUAAUCCUGGUCGGACAUCAGGAGGUUAGUGCAAUGGCAUAAGCCAGCUUGACUGCGAGCGUGACGGCGCGAGCAGGUGCGAAAGCAGGUCAUAGUGAUCCGGUGGUUCUGAAUGGAAGGGCCAUCGCUCAACGGAUAAAAGGUACUCCGGGGAUAACAGGCUGAUACCGCCCAAGAGUUCAUAUCGACGGCGGUGUUUGGCACCUCGAUGUCGGCUCAUCACAUCCUGGGGCUGAAGUAGGUCCCAAGGGUAUGGCUGUUCGCCAUUUAAAGUGGUACGCGAGCUGGGUUUAGAACGUCGUGAGACAGUUCGGUCCCUAUCUGCCGUGGGCGCUGGAGAACUGAGGGGGGCUGCUCCUAGUACGAGAGGACCGGAGUGGACGCAUCACUGGUGUUCGGGUUGUCAUGCCAAUGGCACUGCCCGGUAGCUAAAUGCGGAAGAGAUAAGUGCUGAAAGCAUCUAAGCACGAAACUUGCCCCGAGAUGAGUUCUCCCUGAGACUUAGAGUCUCCUGAAGGAACGUUGAAGACGACGACGUUGAUAGGCCGGGUGUGUAAGCGCAGCGAUGCGUUGAGCUAACCGGUACUAAUGAACCGUGAGGCUUAACCUU